UACGGGGGGAGCAAGCGUUGUUCGGAUUUACUGGGCGUAAAGGGCGCGUAGGCGGUCAGCACAAGUCAGUUGUGAAAUCUCCGGGCUUAACUCGGAAAGGUCAACUGAUACUGUGCGACUAGAGUGCAGAAGGGGCAACUGGAAUUCUCGGUGUAGCGGUGAAAUGCGUAGAUAUCGAGAGGAACACCUGCGGCGAAGGCGGGUUGCUGGGCUGACAGUGACGCUGAUGCGCGAAAGCCAGGGGAGCGAACGGG
rnacentral:rRNA from 1 species